CCUACGGGUGGCAGCAGUGAGGAAUAUUGGUCAAUGGACGAGAGUCUGAACCAGCCAAGUAGCGUGAAGGAUGACUGCCCUAUGGGUUGUAAACUUCUUUUAUAUGGGAAUAAAAUGUUCCACGUGUGGGAUUUUGUAUGUACCAUAUGAAUAAGGAUCGGCUAACUCCGUGCCAGCAGCCGCGGUAAUACGGAGGAUCCGAGCGUUAUCCGGAUUUAUUGGGUUUAAAGGGAGCGUAGGUGGAUUGUUAAGUCAGUUGUGAAAGUUUGCGGAUCAACCAUAAAAUUGCAGUUGAAACUGGCAGUCUUGAGUACAGUAGAGGUGGGCGGAAUUCGUGGUGUAGCGGUGAAAUGCUUAGAUAUCACGAAGAACUCCGAUUGCGAAGGCAGUUCACUGGACUGCAACUGACACUGAGGCUCGAAAGUGUGGGUAUCAAACAGGAUUAGAUACCCGGGUAGUC
rnacentral:rRNA from 1 species